rnacentral:lncRNA from 1 species
AAUCAAAUCAAUGGACAAAGAGUAAAGUGAGGCAAAUCAGGGUUCAAUGCAGAUUUCAACAAUUUAAUCAGACCAUGAAAUCAACAACCAUAUUCAAAACAAUUAUGAUAAAAGUGACUCAGCAAACAAUUUAAAUUCCAAAAUGAAUGCAAGAGCAGAUUAAGAUGGAGUCAAACACAAUGACUAUGAUUCAGCAAAAAGUUGAUCAAAUGAAUGCAACAAAUUCAAUAAUCAGUUUUAAUGUAUUAAAACUGUUUAUCUUGGUCC